rnacentral:lncRNA from 1 species
GUGAGUAUAAAACUGACCUCUGAAUUGGUAUUUCUUCAUUCCACCUUACCUGUUUAUUUAAGGAGAAUAAGCUAUCAGCAGCUGUUGUGAUUAUUGAUUUUAAUUCCUAAUAUCACAUAUGUAAAAGGUUUAAAUUGACAUGAUAAUUCUAGUUGAAACAUUUAAGUGAUUGUUUUUUUGAGUCAUUUAAUUGACAUGCUUAUUUUGGCCCAGUUAUGUGGCUUUGACCAUUCUAGUUAGUUUGGCUUGAAGAUUUUCAACCUAACAAAGCUAAUCUCAUAUCUGAAAUCAAAAGUGGCAUCAGGUCCAGUAUUUCCUGUUUGAUUGAGCUCAAAUUGGAGCAUUAGAAAACUCCACGGUUCUUCCUAUCUGUCAUGUCCAUCCUUGUCUAGCUUUAUUGAUUAGGAAUUUUGCUACAUAGUUACUUAAUGCUAACCAUAUUCAGUUUUUCUUUCAUAUCAAAUUUUAUGUUGUUCAUGAGUUGAUAUGCAACAUGAUGUGUACUUCUUUUUGUCAACUUGGUAAUCAUAUCAGUGCAGGCCCCAUUUGUUUUCAGUUUUGUACAAUAGAUUUGCCUAACAUCUUUUGAUUACAAUCACCGUGAUGAUUAAGUUUCACAAAUCAAGCAUUUGUUAACUGUUUUAGAUUUGUGAUGCUUUAGAUUUUCCUAACAUCGUAGAUAAUUUCACUUGCAACAACUUUCUUAUAGACCGCCAUUUGUGAUACUUUAGUCAUAUGUUGAGGCUUAUCUUUCUUUUAUUUUAUGAUCAAGACACAUUCUUUUUUUUGUACAUUCAGGGAGAAAGAGACCCGGAGCAUUGAUGCUUCACUUAUUAGAAUUUGAGAAUCAGGUUUGAGUAUCUUUUUUUGUUGAAGCUAUUAUAUUAGCCCUUUACUAGAGAAUAUCUCUAGUGGUUUCUCAAAUUUGAUUAUUGAAAAGUCUAGUUUUUUACUUGCUCUUUUGGCUUGCCUCUUAACAUUUUGAAAUCUUGCUUGUGAAUUAUUGACAAUUACCAAGGUCUGCCGUACUGAAGUGUACCGCCCCGUACCGGGCGGUAUGUACCGGUCCGAUAGGUUAUCGGUACGCGGACUGUCCGGUACCACUACAGUGCUACAGUACUAUAGUGUAGCACUACUACAGUGCUACAGUAUAAAAAAUAAAAAAAUAUUCGAUGCACCAGGGCGUACCGCUCGGUACACCCUGAUGUACCACCCGGUACACCGGUACCGUACCAUACCGAGCCCGGGUCGAAACGCCGGUAUAGUACGGUACAGCAAACCUUGACAAUUACUAUAUAGGAAUUGUGACUUAUGUCAGUCUUUCUGUUAAGAAAGAAAAAAGAGACAUUAUCUCACUCUUGAAUUGCAUCCUAGAUAUUCUUUUAUCACAGAUCAUUCAUGAAUAAUAUUUUUAGACACAUUUCAAUUUCUUUAGCCUUUGGUUUUUCUCUUUUAUUUGUGUGUUUUUCACUUUGCACUUUUCUGACAAAAUAUAUUUCAAACUGAUAUUUAGAUCAUUUUGUCAUCAUUUUAAAACUAAAGAAUUUUCAUAUUAAGAAUAUAGGUUUGUCUAGAGGAAGCCUACCUUGUUGGAGUUGAAUGUAAAGGCACUGAAUAUAUAAUUCAUUUGCUGUUGAUGAAUCACUUGAAGAAUUUGCACAAUUAGCUCAUGCUGUUACACUUAUCGAAAAUAUGUUUCUAUUUCUCCCGUUGAACAUGAUGCAGCUAAUAGUUCUAUGGUUGCUCUAAGUAUGCAUUUCUAGAGGUCUAGAAUCUAGUGGUAUAUUAUUGCUUUGGCUGUCAUUGAAUGAUGAAAUUCAGAAAAUAUAUCUUUCUAUCAUUAGUAAACUCUACAGUUCUUCCUAUGUAUCAUGUCCAUCCUUGUCUAGCUUUAUUGAAUAGGAAUUUUGCUACAUAGUUUUAUUUGAUGCUAACCAGAUUCAGUUUUUCUUUCAUAUCAAAUUUGUGUUGUUCAUGAGUUGAUAUGCAAUGUGAUGUACAUCUUUAUGUCAACUUAGUAAUCAUAUCAGUGCAGGCCUCACUUGUUUUCAGUUUUGUACAAUAGAUUUUCCUAACAUCUUUUGAUUAUAAUCACCAUGAUGAUUAAGUUAGCAAAUUGCAUCAUGGUUCGUGCUACGCAGAUAAUUUCACCUGCAGCAACUUUCUUAUAGACUGCCAUUUGUGAUGCUUUACUCAUAUUUUGAGGUUUAUCUUUCUUUUAUUUUAUGAUCAAGGCACAUUCUUUAUUUGUUCAUUCAGGGACAAAGAUACCCAGAGCAAAGAUGCUUCAUUUAUAAAAUUUGAGAAUCAGGUUUGAGUAUCUUUUUUUGUUGAAGCUAUUAUAUUACCUUGACUAGAGAAUAUCUCUAGUGGUUUCUCAAAUUUGAUUAUUGAAAAGUCAUUAGUAUUUUACUUGUUCUUCUGGCUUGCCUCUUAACAUUCUGUAACCUUGCUUGCGAAUUAUUGACAAUUACUAUACAGGAAUUGUGACUUCUGUUAGUCUUUCUGUUAAGAAAGAAAAAAGAGACAUUAUCUCACUCUUGAAUUGCAUCCUAGAUAUUCUUUUAUCA